CUUUCGUUUAACACCUAGAAUGUUCCACAUCUUAGCCAUUACUUCGCUGGUAAAAUGACUACCUCUGUCUGACUCAAUUCUUUGAGGCAGACCGAACCUGGAAAAGACAUGGUUAAUCAACAAAGUGGCACACACGGUACUCGUGUUCUCUUUACAAGGCAAACAUUCUAUCCACUUUGUGUACAUACAUGUAACGGUUAACAUGUAU